CCUGGCUGCCCGUCAGAACACCCGCCUCCUGAGCCCUCUGGACUGGGGACCUGUCCUCUCAGUGCCCUACAGACCCGGAGUGCCCAGUGCUCGUGCCCAACACCGGCUGCCGUGGCCCAGUGCUUCGUUUUUGCUGCUCGUAGUGUUCCAUUGCAUGGAGGUAUCACAUUCUGCUUAGGCAGGUACCAGGAUCCCCUCCCACACCCCGUCCCCAGCUUUGGCUAUUUUGGAAAUGAAGCUGUUAUAACCAUGCAGAAAAAGCCCUGGAAAAUAGGACACAUAAAUGGAAUAGCAUCGAGUGAGGAAUACACAAAUAUUUGAAAUGGAAAUCCACACACUGAGGCUCUGGCACUUCAAGCAACAAGCCACUUCCCUGCUACAUGGCUGUUCUUUCAGGACUCAGCCCUGGGCGAGGCCCCUCUUGUAGCUCCUCUUCUCCAAGCUUGGCGUAUCCUGUGCCGUCAGCCCUGCCCUGAGUGACGACGCUGCUUGACCUCUCACAGUUUUGGCUGUCCUUUCCUGGACAUGCUCAUUUAUGUCCCUGAACUGGGCGCCCCAUGGUGAACCCGGUUCCACAGGUGUGGCAACAACGCUACCUCGCCACAGUCACCGUGUCCCCAGCUCCGUCCCGGCCUGAAUCUGUGCGCCCCGAGAUGCCGAGCCCUUUCUCACGUUAGCCGCUUCCUCGUCUGGUUUCUCACGUUAUUCUUGCCAACUU